GUGAUUCCUAUUCAUCUAUUUCAGUCAUGUUACCUCUUUCUUUUAGCUGUCAUAAUUAUGACCAUAAUUUAUG